rnacentral:rRNA from 1 species
CCUACGGGAGGCUGCAGUGAGGAAUAUUGGGCAAUGGGGGCAACCCUGACCCAGCCAUGCCGCGUGAAGGAAGAUGGUUUUCGGAUGUUAAACUUCUGUUCUGCGUGAAGAAUCAGGACGGUAGCUAAGGAGCAAGCCAUGGCUAACGACGUGCCAGCAGCCGCGGUAAUACGGAGGUGGCAAGCGUUGUCCGGAAUUACUGGGUGUAAAGGGAGCGCAGGCGGGAAGCCAAGUCAGCUGUGAAAACUACGGGCUUAACUUGUAGACUGCAGUUGAAACUGGUUUUCUAGAGUGAAGUAGAGGUUGGCGGAAUGCCGAGUGUAGCGGUGAAAUGCGUAGAUAUUCGGAGGAACACCGGUGGCGAAGGCGGCCAACUGGGCUUUAACUGACGCUGAGGCUCGAAAGUGUGGGGAGCAAACAGGAUUAGAUACCCCAGUAGUC